rnacentral:rRNA from 1 species
GAUGAACGCUGGCGGCGUGCCUAAUACAUGCAAGUCGAGCGAAUGGAUUGAGAGCUUGCUCUUAUGAAGUUAGCGGCGGACGGGUGAGUAACACGUGGGUAACCUGCCCAUAAGACUGGGAUAACUCCGGGAAACCGGGGCUAAUACCGGAUAACAUUUUGAACCGCAUGGUUCGAAAUUGAAAGGCGGCUUCGGCUGUCACUUAUGGAUGGACCCGCGUCGCAUUAGCUAGUUGGUGAGGUAACGGCUCACCAAGGCAACGAUGCGUAGCCGACCUGAGAGGGUGAUCGGCCACACUGGGACUGGUACACGGCCGAGACUCCUACGGGAGGCAGCAGUAGGGAAUCUUCCGCAAUGGACGAAAGUCUGACGGAGCAACGCCGCGUGAGUGAUGAAGGCUUUCGGGUCGUAAAACUCUGUUGUUAGGGAAGAACAAGUGCUAGUUGAAUAAGCUGGCACCUUGACGGUACCUAACCAGAAAGCCACGGCUAACUACGUGCCAGCCGCCGCAGUAA